rnacentral:rRNA from 1 species
UGGGGAAUAUUGCACAAUGGGGGAAACCCUGAUGCAGCGACGCCGCGUGAACGAAGAAGGUAUUCGUAUCGUAAAGUUCUGUCCUAUGGGAAGAUAAUGACAGUACCAUAGAAGAAAGCUCCGGCUAAAUACGUGCCAGCAGCCGCGGUAAUACGUAUGGAGCGAGCGUUGUCCGGAAUUAUUGGGCGUAAAGGGUACGCAGGCGGUUUAAUAAGUCGAAUGUUAAAGAUCGGGGCUCAACCCCGUAAAGCAUUGGAAACUGUUAAACUUGAGUAGUGGAGAGGAAAGUGGAAUUCCUAGUGUAGUGGUGAAAUACGUAGAUAUUAGGAGGAAUACCAGUAGCGAAGGCGACUUUCUGGACACAAACUGACGCUGAGGUACGAAAGCGUGGGGAGCAAACAGG